UGACCUCAUAGAGGACCUGUGACUUCAUAGAUUAGAGGACGUGGCUACCGAGCAUUUUAUAGUCUGAUGGCUGUUUCAGUGCAGCGGUGGCCUGUCGUCCUGAGCACCUCGCUGUCCCUGUUGUCACACAUCUGGGGCCCAGCACCUCUGCGGACGCCCUCGGUGCUGCCCAGCCACCUGGACCAUCAGCUCCCCCUCGGGUCCUGGCGCACAAAGCGGAUGGGAGCGCCCGGGCCGGUGAGAGGAGAAGGAGCUGAAGCUGGGACGGCUGUCCGCGCCCCGGCCCGAGCCCUGCGCGCCCCGGGUGCUCCAGGCGCAUCGUCCCCCUGUUGACUGGGCCGCCUCCGCCCCCAACGGUCCCGGGAUUGAAGGAGCCGCGCAGCGGGCACCGUGGCUGGCGCAUCCGAAGAGCCAAGGCCGCUGGGCCCUGACGGUGGGCAGAGACCAGGGCGCCUGCAGGCCCGGGCGGGGGAUGGGGCCCUCGUGCCGAGAACUGUUAGAAGACAACGCGCCAGGGCGGCCCGAGAACAGACGUCUCCGGGAGUAUUUACUGCACUUUCAUGAGAAGAGUUUCCAGGCUGCCCCUUGAAGCAAUGAAGUUGGAUUUGGAGCAAAUGGAAACAUUGUGAAAUGGCUUAUUUUCUUCCAAAAUUUGUAUUUUCUUCCUUGCUUCCUGUUCAGUCAGGCCCACUCAUUAGCAGAAGCUUUGCUCCGGGACCAUAUUCCAAAUUAAACUUCUAUGUUUCCAGGAAA